UGAGGAAUAUUGGUCAAUGGACGCAAGUCUGAUCCAGCCAUGCCGCGUGCAGGAAGACGCNUCUCUGGUUUGUAAACUGCUUUUNUACGGGAAGAAACCACUNUUCGUGAAGAGUCUUGACGGUACCGUAAGAAUAAGCAUCGGCUAACUCCGUG
rnacentral:rRNA from 1 species